AUAAAUGCCUAUUAAGAAUACCUCAUUUAAUUAAAAAUGCCUUCUAUCAAUUAAAAAUACGACAUUCGCAUGUCACAUUUUACGACUUUGACCUCAGUGGGUCGUCCUGAUUCUCGAAGAAACCCAGAAACGCAAGUCACAAGUAUUCCAUAAAUGCUUGAAUGAGAAAGUGAAAGUGACUGGAGUUUGUUGCUGAAGUUAUGUUUAUGUGUGGUUUCUCAUAUUUUGCCUGUGAAGAGAAUCUGGGUCUUUGUAGCACUUUGCAUUCAAUGUAGAGCUAUGGGCUGUUGUGCAACUUGCUAAAAUUUGGCCAGCAUAAAUAUAUUACAGAAGAGAACAAGCGCAUGCUGGUAUAUCCAUGGCAGCUGAGCAGCAGUAAUACCAAUAGCUUCAGUUUAAUAGGAACUAUUUUAGAAGAGAAUGUAACUUGACCAGGAGCCUGCGCUUCAGCUGCUACCGGUAAUUUCACAGAUAGAACAAGUGCCCUUGGGUUCUCAUACUGAUGUACACUGCUGGUUUUCACAUGGUUAAUUCGAGGAAGAAGGACGUCCCUCAUGUACUUCAAUGUUCCCCGUGCCAAGGAGAGUACGUUCAUUCACAGGUCCACAUGCAACAUGUUUGCAGUCAGCAGAGACCUAUGCCCUGCGCUUUACACAAAAGAACAACAGCACGCCUUUUGAUUUCUUCCUACAGAAGGCCCUUUUCUUCUGUCACCUGCGUUUUAUGAUAUACUUUACCUCAGGGAUACUCGCCAUGAUGGCUCUAGUGACUGUGACUCUGUUGUUUGGGCUAGGAUUCCUGUUCAUACAUUUAUUCAUAAGGUUCCAAUACAAGUUGACUAUAUUUCUAAUCCUACUUGGGAGGCAGAGGUUGAAUUUUGAUGAACUCAAUAACUUUGUUAUAUAUUGGCUGCAAGUAGCAGUGCAGUUCAUGGGAGGAUUUGGAUGGAUAGUGCUACUUUAUGUUGAUAUGUGAAUAUAUACAGUGGUGAAAGUCUGCACUGCAAGAUAAUUAAGCAAUUAAACAAAUAAUAAAAAUAGGUCCUUAGUUGGCAUGCUGUAUGACAUUUCAGUUAUAUUGUCAUUAUCUAUUUGCUUAAAAAUGCAGCUGGUUUAAUCAAAAUAUGUGCUUCAAUUGAUGUAUCUAAUAGCAAUUACUUUUAAUGCCCAUAAAAUCCCGCAAUCUGUAUAAUCUAAGGUCACAUUGCUGGUACAUAAAAGGAAAACUCCUGUCUGGAUGGUCAAGUUGCUUGAUAAUAUAUGUAAAUGUUUGUUUUUUUUCAUCAAGAAUCAUUUUCCACCAUUUCCAAUAAAAUGGAGUGUCUUAAGUUUUUUUAAUACAUUCAGUUCUUGAUAUAGGUAUUUGAUGUUGAACGUGACUGGCACAGUUGUCUCUUGCCAAGUAGCGUGGUACUUUGUUGCUAAAAAAAAA